AUGGCUUCCUUUCCGGUUUGGAAAGAUGGUGCGGUGGCGACUCGGGCUCAGCCAUAUGGACUGGACGCGACUGCUGCCCAUCCCGACUGCGCGCCAUCCUCAUCCAGAGUACAACUCCUCCCGCGGUUUUGUCAUCUACACGAACCGCAACAGCCGAUCAAAGCUCAACCUCUCUCCCUUAAAAAAAGGUUCAAUUGUGAUAGUUCGCAGCCGUUGAAAUUCGAAGUCAGGUUGCUGCCACCGUGGAGUCAUCGAUGCCUAUGCAGAGAGUUUAACUGCCUCGCCUGCCAGGCUUUGCAUACUAUUCGUGCUGUUCUUGACUAUGAAUGGAAUGCUAUGGAUCCUGCCUGCUCUAUUAUUAGGAUGGUUCAUCUAUAA
rnacentral:rRNA from 1 species